AAAAGAAACUAACAAGGAUUCCCCCAGUAACGGCGAGUGAAGCGGAAGAGCUCAAGCUUAAAAUCUCCAUGUUUUACAUGGCGAAUUGUAGUCUAUUGAGGCUGUUGUCAGCAUAGCGAUUUGGGAUAAGUCCCUUGGAAAAGGGCAGCAUAGAGGGUGAUACUCCCGUCUUUGCUCAGAUUGUCUAUGUGUACGAUACGCUUUCUUUGAGUCGAGUUGUUUGGGAAUACAGCUCAAAGUAGGUGGUAAAUUCCAUCUAAAGCUAAAUAUUGGUGCGAGACCGAUAGCGAACAAGUACCGUGAGGGAAAGAUGAAAAGAACUUUGAAAAGAGAGUUAAAGAGUACCUGAAACUGUUGAAAGGGAACCGUAACAUGUCCAGUGUUGUAUCUUGUGCAUAUUUCAUUAGUGGAGCAAUUCACUGGUGCCCUGUGCAUGAGUGUGACGUCAAAGUCAGUUUGUAUGCUGCGGGAGAUGGUUAGCAAGGAGGUGCGUCACUUUUGUGUCAGUUAUACCUUGUUAACUAGUAGCCGUGGUUGAGACUGAGGUGCCUACAACAUGCUUAUAGAGUAUAUUGUUGUCUCGUCAUUAUACCGUUUGGAUAGCUUGCUAUGCUGAUGGUCUAUAGUGGCGAUUGAUGAUGGUAUUAACUUUUUGCUGUUCGGGACUUU
rnacentral:rRNA from 1 species